UACGUAGGGUGCAAGCGUUGUCCGGAAUUAUUGGGCGUAAAGAGCUCGUAGGCGGUCUGUUGCGUCGGCUGUGAAAACCCGGGGCUCAACCCCGGGCCUGCAGCCGAUACGGGCAGACUAGAGUUCGGCAGGGGAGACUGGAAUUCCUGGUGUAGCGGUGAAAUGCGCAGAUAUCAGGAGGAACACCGGUGGCGAAGGCGGGUCUCUGGGCCGAUACUGACACUGAGGUACUAAAGCAUGGGGAUCAAACGGG
rnacentral:rRNA from 1 species